rnacentral:lncRNA from 1 species
AUUCAGCAGCCGCCUGAAGGAGAUUUUUCAGCGGCAAUGUCGAAUAGUUGAAAAAUCUUAGUUUUAUGCGUUGUUGUGCUGGUGAACAGCUUGAUUCUGUUUUGGUUUCUUUUUUCUACUUUCUUGGUAAGUUUCUUAAGACUUAUUUUUAGUUUCCAUUAGUUUGAUAAAUUUUCAGAUUAAGGAUAAUUUUGGAUCUAGUUUUUUGUUCUGUCUAAUACAGAAAAGUUUUCAUAAAUUUAGGUACUAGGUAUAUAGUACUAAAACAGUGCCCUAAUUUGUUUUUUUCUUCUACUUAUUCUCUUAUUGUUUUCAAACUGGCAAGCAAAGUGGGGUUCUUCCCUUUUAGAUUUGCAACUCUCUUCUUCAUAGCAUUGUUCAUGUCUAUCAUUGCAACAGGAAUUUCGGAGUUGAGAUGGAGUUGAGUGAGCAUUGGAGAAUGGUUGAGAAACGAGCAUUUAUGGUUCUUUGGAGGAAUCUCAACUCAGCUCUUUUGCAGUUGGACAAGGUCUUGUCAAAAUCUUAGCACUUAGCAGGCAUUGACACAAAACUUCAGAGUCACAUCAAAAGCAACAGAUGAUGAUGACUUUGGAGAACUUGAUCAUAAACAUUGUCGGAGUUGUUGGAGGCAUCUCAGAUGCUAUUAACAAUGGAUAUCAUCAGUCUUGGGGACCUCUGUUUGGUAAACUCUUAAUUUCUUCUCCUUUUGGGUCAUUGUUCAUCUCUUCCCAUUCCUCAUAAAAGUCUGAUGGGAAGACAGAGUAAAAGAUUUACAGAUGACUUCUCAAAGGAAGUAAUUAGUUGCUGUUGAACCACACUAUACUUGAAUGCAAGCUUUUAACAGCCCUUAGAUUUAUUUAUUUCUUUAAACCGUGGAAAUUCACACUCACAUCUCAUUACAGCUUAAAGCUGAAUAUCAUUUGAUAAAACAUUAAAAACAUGAAAUGCCUGAUUUUUUUUUCUUUAUGUUAUGAUUGCAUUAUGGUUUUUGUAUAUCUUUAAAAAGGUUCAAGAUGCCUGACAAUUCCAUGCCCAAAGACACUUGCUUAUCAAGUAAUCAGGUGAUGAAUUGAUGCUUGAUGGCAACCCCAAGCUUAACCUACCUUCCUUUGUCACCACUUGGAUGGAACCUGAGUUUGACAAACUCAUCAUGGAAUCUGUAAACAAAGAACUAUGUUGACAUGGAUGAAUAUCCUGUCACUACCGAGCUCCAUGUUCCCCUUUUUCUUUUGUCAUUCUUACAUCUGUCUUUCAAUAAAGAUAUGUUCAAGUCUGUUUUCCAUGUUGUAAUAAAUCUUUUUUCGCGUGUUUUUUCCUUCUUUAGAACUGGUGUGACAUCCAUGUAACAGUUGGUUUAUUAGAGGCUGUAAUGCUUGCCGGUUAAACUUUCAAAAGGAUAAUCCUAACAUUAGUUUGCUGAUAAUCCUAACAUUAGUUUUUGUAUACUAGCUUAUAUAUUGGGGCAUAGACAUUUCUGGAAGUUUGUCACAAGUGUCAUUAACUCUAGACAGUUAGCAACCAAGUAUCUAAAAGCCUUGUACACGUGAGAGCAUACUUUCGAAAUGACAAAUAUAAAACGUUGGAGAUAUGUAAGACUGAAUUGCGAUGUUUAACAAAAGAUAGCACAGUAGUAAGUAUUUUUAUUUAUUACAUAAAACCAUAUGAAAAUCGAAACACCCUCCACGCUUCUUCUCCACUCUCCAGCUUAUUAUUCUUCUUCCUUCAAUACUGUUAGAAUGAAAAACCAUGUCAAGGUAAAAUCAAAAGCUAAGUAAAUAAGAUGGAACUCAGAAAAGGAAAAGAAAUGUCAACUUGCCUUGGAAUGCGUUAGGUUAAAUGUGUGUCGAGGCCUAAGAGGGCCGAGCGGCCCGCGCCUGCGCCCGCGCCCGGACGUUAACAUCUGACGUCUAACCAUGUCUUGAUUAAGCAGCAAGUCCAACUCCUGCAGUGAAAAAUCAGCGUAAGAGAGGGCUGUAGAUAUCAUCAACUUUAAGAUGAGAAUAGAUGAUUUAAACACAUACAUUUGAUCGACCAAAGGGCAGGUUAGCAGGGUCAGUACGAUCCACAUUGUUUUUACUAGCAUGCCUGUCCCACUCCUACAUACAGACAAACAUAUAUAUAUAAGACAAAUGACAAAAUGUAUUGUAUUGAAACAAGCAGAGAGAGAGAGAAGGAGAGAUGCUUACACCAUAUGCAUGUUUUACAGACUUGAGAUGGGUGGUGAAAUCUUCAAGGCUUGGGGCAGCAACAAAGCAUACUUCACAGAACCAGGGAGAUUUAACACUGGAAUUAACAACAAGGCUUGUUGUUGUCGUCUCCUGUUCAUCUGAGAACAAGGCAGCCCAAUCCCACUGUUUAAGAAUUCUGAAUCCCUUAUCUUCAAGUUCGGAAAGUGUUCCUGCUAACCAUCCCAGCUGCUCAUGACCGUCUAUGACCAUCAUAGUACCCGGAGGAGGGUUCUCGUCGGCCCAAUCAUACAAAUCCAUUUGAUAUUCUGCAGUUAAAAAAAAGAAGUAAAAGCUGAAUCUUAAAAUACUAAUAUCUAAAUUAAUUGCACUCAUACACACAGACAAAGGAAGAAAGAAUUAAACCGUCAGCGUUUUUAAGAGCGAUUCCGAUGGAAGAGAGCCUCCUCAUGACGUCUUCGCCAGGGACCUCUGUUAGUUUGUCGCCAAUGGCAGUGAUUGAGAUCUCACCGUUGCGGCGGACGUAGCCGGACUUCUCCACCGCCGCUUGUAUUCUCUGAACCACCAUAAGAGGAUCAUGACCAUCUGGAAUCGGACAGUUGCUGAUGUUCCAUAGCACCAUAGCUUUCUCCACCGCCAUGUUCUCGAUUUGGUUUGCUUCCUGAGAUAGAUUUCACACAGGUUGAAUCAAGAUCUGAGAGGGAAAACCUAGAUAGAUAGAUAUCCUACUGUGGAUUCGAAGAGCGGGUAAACGCGGACCUAGGAGAUGAGAAAGAUCAAUAUCUUGAAAGACAGAGUUCGUAUACUAACCUCUUUGUAUGAAUUUUGGCAAGAUUGCUUGGGAAGAAAGUAAUAGGUUUAAGAAAUCGUUUAUUGAUUAUAAAUGCAUAAAACCUGCCUAUAAGGCUACAUAUAUAUAUAUAUAUAGUAAACCAAAGAGGAGGUUUAACUAUUAGAAAAGGAAAAUAAAAGAUGAAGCUAAGUAUUAAAAGGAAAAUCAGAAAUAAGGAAAUCGGAUAAUGAAGAGAUGAAUGACAGAGAGAGUAGUUAUAAAAUAAGUGUAAUUCAUAUAUAAAAAUAUGAGUUAUUCUUGAGUUCACUCGGUAAACUUUUAGGUUCACCAACCAAUAGUAGUUAUAAAAAAAAAUUAAAAUUUUCUUUUUAACAUCGUCAGAAAAACAUUAAACAAUAAACCUUAAAUCCUAAUCCCUAAACCUUUGGGUAAACCCUAAACCUUUGAAUAAAUCUUAAACUCUAAAUCAAAAACACUAAACACUAAAACACUCAAGAUUUAGGGUUUACGAUUUAGGGUUUAAAGUUUAGGAUUUAAGGUUUAAGGUUUAGGAUUUAGUGUUUAGUGUUUUUUAUUUAGAGUUUAUGAUUUAUCCAAGGGGUUUAGGAUUUAGUGUUUUGGGUGACGACGUUAAAAUGUUUUAAGAAUUUUUUUUUAUAACUAUUAUUAUUUUAGUUUUUUAUUUUAAAAACAUAAUAUAAUUUGACAAUAUUUUCUUCUAUUUUUUGAAAAAUAUUGAAUAUAAAAUAAUGAAAUCUUAUUGGUUGGUGAACCUAGAGGGGGUGAACCCAAGAAUAAUUAUACAAAUCUGGUCUUUCAUAUAUGUAUAUAUAUUACAUUUAAAUCAAAUGCUAUUAACAAUAUAUAUCAAUCUUGGGAACCUUUGUUUGGUAAACUCUUCUUCUCCUUUAGGGUCAUUGUUCAUCUCUACACAUUCCUCAAAGGUCUGAUGGGAAGAUAGAACAGAACACCAACCAUUAUGGUGAUUUAGUCAGUUCUGUUGGCACCUAUCUUCUCUUUGCUUUGGGUCAAGAAUUGAUCAUUUGUACUCAAAGCCAAGGGACCUGACACUUACACGUGUGGCAUCAACCGUGAAGCUGUAUCUUUAUUUCUUUUCUUCGUCUGAAACGUUAACGCGAUGUAAAGAAAUCUCGAACCUAAUUACUCUUUUACAUCGUAAAAGAUUCACCGAUAAAUGUUAACGGAAGUAGUUAGUUGCACUUGAACCACACAAUACUCGAAUGCAAGCUUUUACCAGAGAUAGCCUGUGAUAUUUUUUCUUUAAACCGUGGACUUCAGAAGAAGAAAAGAAACGACUACAAAAGACUAAUCACACCACAUCUCAUAAAAAAUUCAAGCUGAAUAUCAAUUGCUAAAACAUUAAAAACAUGAAAUGCCUGAGUUUGUUUAGUACAGGUCUCACUCUCUCAAUCUUUAGAAACACCAAGGAUGCACUGGGAGAGAUGAGUCAAGUAUGGCUCAGCCUGAGAGCCUUUGCUCAACACUGGUCCUAAGCUCUGCAACUCCGAGUUGAACUCCCUUUCGAAAUUGCUGGUAAAACGCGUAAACCAACAAAUUAGAACACGAUACGAUACCAUAAUAUGAAGUUGGAAAAGUUUCUAACAGCAACACUGCUUUUGUAGAGAUGCUGAUAAAAAAGGGUCUUAAAAGAUCUACGUGAUUCCUUAAAAACAGUUCCUUGUUACUACUUACAAUAUGGACUCUGUGACGGUUGUGUCUCUUAUCAUUGUCUUCUGAGACUGGCUAUUGAUGUCAACAGACGAUGAUAUUAGCCACUGUGUGGCUGCAGCAUAUUGCAGGCACACUGAUUUCAACUUCUCCAUUUUAUGCAACAGUCAAAAUAUUGAAAAACAUUAUACACAUACCACCAGUACAUUUAUCCUGAGAAACGAUUACAUUAAAUGGAACAGAUACCUUGAGGACAUCAGGUAAAAGAAGAAAGCAUCCUCUCAGACAUUUAUCAAGAAAGAAGUCGUGAUGCUGUAUCACCUGUGAGACGAUGGUUUAUUGUUCAAUGAAAAAAACAUGUUCUCCCUUCCAACAAUAACAAAGCAGACCUCUACACUUACCUCAUAUAUACUCCUUGUGGAUUGUAGUCUAUCCUGCAUCACAUGCCAAUUUGGUUCCAGAACCUGAAGACACAUCCCACAUAGAAGAAGCAAAUACAACAUUACGCUUAAUUAAACAUUAUAUCAGCAAACAUAAAAGUUUAAAACAAACACAACAAUGAGACUUACCUCGAAUGUAAGAUAAUGUAGAAGGCUACUGAUGAAUUUAAGCAUGCUACGGCAGAGAAGCGAUGAUCUACAUAUUGCUGUACCGUUUGAGUUCAUAGACCGAAUACCCUGUCGAAUUACACAUCAGUUUGUCAAAUAUAAAGUUUCAUAAUAAACAAACACAAAGUUCCCUAGCUACUUCAUAAUAUUUAGUCCAUACUUGAUGUAUCUGCCACGCACCACAAAGCUGACGUUCCACAUGUUUGCAAUGAAACAAAAAGCGGAAAAUUAAGUGGUACUUUGAUAGGGCUUUCUUUGAUAUGACAAUAGAUAGUGGCCACUGAACCUGAAACACAAAGACACAAACAACAUUUCAUACAAAAGUAGUUUAAAACAUAUCAAACAGUUCAUUAGUCAAUCAAAUACAAACAGGAAGUUUCAGACAAGGCAAGAAAGGGAGCGGACCUUGUAGCUCAAGGAAAAUGUUUCAAGACCAGUGAUGCUCACUGGGUCCUCAAUACUAUUGCUAUCAGUGUCCUUCUGCAUUCCCAAAGUCUUAAGCAACGAAGUUCGAUCCUAUGAUAUUAACGCAAAGUGAGAAUAAAUUAUGUACGGUCUAUGUAUUAUUGACCACAUCCAGGAAAAGACGAAUUGACUGCUCACCACACAACAAGUCAAGUCCUCGUGGCGAGGAUCUGCUGCAGCCGCUGUGGUGCGCAGGGAAAGAUCUGCUGUUAUCCACAAACAUACCUGAACAUUGUGCCCACAUUCUCUCAUAGCGUUUAGAUAUUUCCCUGUGGUCAAUAUUGUUGCAGCAAUGUUUGCAAGGAAGCCAGGAAUAGUCUCCUUGAGGCUGUACCUUUGGCUCCAAUAUUUAGCCGUCGAGUCCUGACUGAGGCUUUCCUAUACAAAAAGUUUGAAAUUGUAAGAUCAAGCAAUUGAAAAAUUGUGCAGGCGAGCUGAGGAAAAAAAAAAAUCAAAGUACCUUUUUAAGAGAUCUGUUCUCAGCAAUGAAAAAUUCCCCAUACGGAUCAUCAAUGAUCCCUUCAUAGACCCACCUUAAUUAAAACAUUAGUUCAAGUCAGCUGACACAUCUGAGAAUACUAUGAGUCUAGUUACGAGCAAGAACGAAUGAGGCAUGAGAAACUCAACCUUUCCAAUAUGCUCAGGUAUGCAUUGCUUGCACACUCGGUCAUUUUCUCUAACAAUGACCUUACUGAGUUAUCACCAGCCAUCGCUUUAGCCUAGGCAUGACAGUCUUUCAAGAUUAGGCCAUACAGCAAGAAAGCACACCGGAGCCCACAAAAUAAAAUAUCUAAGGGGAACGUUUAUGACCAUAGCAAGAAUAUACCUGACUCUGCAAGAGAUUAAGCACACCGGAGCCCACAAAAUGCUUUGCUCGCGCAUGGAUCCCAUCAUGGGCUGAGAUACACAAAAACAAUCAAUCAGCAUAGGUUUUUCCAGAACUUGUAGCUUCCAUUCUCGGAAGAAAGACAGACCUGACAGUAAAACCAUAAUCCUUGGAGAGAGAGUCUUCCAAGUCGAAAUUGAUGUUCCAAUUGUGCCACCAUGGCUUGAUAAUCCUGGUAUAAGAAAAAAAUUGUUAACUUUCAGCAUUAGCAAAGAGUGUUUUCAAAUUACCUCAGCGCUAACAGAAAGUGAUAUCUCUCGAUCUAAACAAUGCAAUUGGUCAUCUUAGAUAUUCAUACGUACGCAUACAUUCUCAAUUGCUCACUCUUAAAUGGGAUAGAGACAUCAAAUUCAAAUGAGCUUCCAAGUUCAUGUUUUUAGUUAACUGAUUAGCUCCCCUAAAUUUGACUAUUGUUUUAUCGAAUACAGAUCCAGUUUGCAAAAGCUCCGAGAUGAAACAGUAAAAGAAAGAAAAAUAACUCAACAAACAAACAAUGCAUGACAAUUACCACAAAAAGUAGCAACCUAUAUAACAUACAAGAAGGAGAGCCCUGAGUGCAGCUGCAAAUGCAUGGUUAACUAGCCCCUUCUUGAACUGUGAGCUUGACUCCACAAAUUGGUCUAUCAGCAGAAAACAUUCACACAAUGGGAAUAUUCUUUUUGCUUGUUCCUGCAAAAUUAUUCGCAUCAGCCACUAUAUUCUGAGAAGAGCCAGGUAGAAUAAGAACAGAUCAUACAUAGUUAGUUGAAUUGUGUAGCCAUUUUUCUUAAAAUGUUCAGGAUAAGAUACAAGAUUUAAUGUGUUGAGUAGUACUUGCCUGUAAUGCCAAAUCCAUUUGAUGGAUCAACUUGGAAAGCUAUACUAUCCUCCUUCCCAUGGAAUCUUUUAAUUGAUAUAUAUCUCCCUUCAAUUCCAACCAACGCAGACAAGAGAACAUCGAUGACAAUAAGUUCCUGCAUGCCAAAAGGGAUAUAAAAAAAAGAGAUGACACCAAGUACUUAGACUUUACAGAACUAAUUGGCUCAGAUCAAUUCAAGAAAAUUAGAAGCCAUCUUCAUCUACUAUGCCCAAACUUGCAAAAGCUACAAGCCUCAAACCCAAGCUUUAAGUAUCUCACCACCAGUUUCAAGGUAACAUUGGAUAACAAUAUCAAAGAAUCCCUAUCAAAAAAAGGACAAGACUUUGUAAAAUAAAACAAACCUGAACCGGUGUGUCAUAGCAGCCUAUUGCCUGAUCAACUCCACAAUUGCUGAAACCACACACACACACAUAUAAAGAUUCAGUAAUUUUCUGGAAAAGAGGAAAAAAAAGAAAAUUCACUUUCAGCAUAGAGAUUUGGAAAUACCUAGACGAGUCUGAAGGAAACCGCUUUGAAUCAGCAAACCUGGAGCUUGCCCUCGUUUCCUGAGAUGAUAAACCCAUUGUUUCAAAAACUAACCAUUUUUUGUUCUUUCUAAAGCUACCUAACAAUAAAUGUCUAAAUUUCAAAAUUUUAAACCAGAAGUCUAGAGAUGGAGCACCUGGCGGAAGCGGCCAGUGAGGAACGGCCUGUCUUGGUUCCUUCCAACGAGGAGUCGUAGGGCACGAGAUUGGCGUCAUUGGCUCCAUUGCUUAGCUUUCACUCAAUUCAACUCUGCAGCUAAAAAAGCUUUAUGGAAAAAGGAGACAGAGAUCAGCCACCAUAUUCGGACCAGCUCCGGUUUUACUUAAACCAUUAAACUCAGAGUAGUAAAGUCCGGUUUGAGUGAACCAGAUAUUCUCAGAUCCUCGUUAAUUCAAAAGUUCCACGGCGGCGUAGGACACGGCGCGAUGCAGAGGAUAUGUCAGAUCGAUUCUCACAAAAAGAUGAUAAAGCUGAGACAUUUUUGCAAAGUUUACGCUCGAUUUUCAGCAAAUGCUAUUGGAACUAGAAGUCAGCUGUGAUUGAUUUGAAAAUUGAAAUAAAGGUUUUUGCUUUAAAAAUUAGAAAAAGACAAAAGAAAACAAAACACCUUUUCCUCCUGUUCUGUCCUCCUCCAAUUUUGCGAUUCAAAGAAAAUGAUUAUCUCUUUCCUUUUCUAUUUUAUUGAGCUCCAAAACGAAACCACCACCCGCUUCUCCUCUCCUUCACCUGGAGACGAUCUUUCGCCGCCGACUUCCCCUCUCUCUCUGCGGCGAAGAUCAUAUAGGAACCAUCUCCAGGUUUUGUCACUUCAAAAUCCUCUCUUUCUCUUCCCUUUGCACCAUUCCUCAUCCCAUUUGAUCCGUUGUAUUUGGUAUUGAAUCAGGUGGGGGCAAAAAGGAUGGCUUUUGUCGGAAAACCCGAGAAGUUCUCUACGGAUUUCAUGAUGGGAGGAGCAGCAGCCAUUGUCGCCAAAUCCGCAGCCGCUCCUAUCGAAAGGGUAAAGCUUUUACUCCAAAACCAAGGCGAGAUGAUCAAAACAGGACAUCUCGCAAGACCCUACACCGGUCUAGGCAACUGCUUCCUCAGAAUCUUCAGAGAAGAAGGUGUUUUAUCCUUCUGGAGAGGAAACCAAGCCAACGUCAUACGUUAUUUCCCUACACAGGUUUGCUUUAAAGAAAAGCUUUAAUCUUUAGACACUUUGAGUGUUUGUUUUAUGUGUUUUAAGAGACUCUCUUUUUAUAGGCUUCCAACUUUGCGUUUAAAGGUUACUUCAAGACCCGUCUCGGAUGUUCCAAAGAGAAGGACGGUUACUUGAAGUGGUUCGCUGGGAAUGUAGCCUCUGGUAGCGCUGCUGGAGCUACGACUUCGUUGUUUUUGUAUCAUCUUGAUUACGCGAGGACUCGUUUAGGCACUGAUGCGAAAGAAUGUUCAGUUACUGGCAAGAGGCAGUUUAAAGGGAUGGUUGAUGUGUACCGUAAAACUCUCUCAAGCGACGGUGUUAAAGGUCUUUACCGUGGCUUUGGCGUGUCGAUAUUGGGAAUCACUCUUUACCGAGGGAUGUAUUUUGGGAUGUAUGAUACAUUCAAACCCAUUGUUUUAGUUGGUUCCUUAGAGGUAACAUCAUCUUCCUAUAUUCUUAAUUAAGAGUGAGCAAUAGUUAUAAAUGGUUUAUUUGAUUUUGUGACAGGGAAACUUCUUGGCUAGCUUUUUAUUGGGGUGGAGCAUUACUACCUCUGCAGGCGUCAUUGCUUACCCUUUUGACACGGUUAGGAGGAGAAUGAUGCUUACAUCAGGACAGCCUGUUAAAUACCGGAGCGCCAUUCACGCAUUGAGAGAGAUACUCAAGUAUGAAGGGUUCUUUGCGCUGUAUAGAGGAGUUACUGCCAACAUGCUUCUUGGAGUUGCAGGAGCAGGAGUGCUUGCGGGGUAUGAUCAGCUUCACCGUAUUGCUUAUAAGCAUUUGGUUCAGUAGUUACACAAGUCAAAGAAGCAAAAGGCGAGUAAACACCAAGAAGUCUCACUUACAUUCCAAUGUGUUGUGUUUAUUAACAGAAUCAUUUUAAACAGCUGAGGAAGAUAGGGAAAAUUGUUGAUAAUUCUUGUGCAGAUACAUUUGUUAUUUCAAUAAUCCAUUGGAAGAAUGAGAAUUUAUUUGAAAGCUUUUGAUGAUACAAACAAACAAAAAUAAAGGAUGAAAAGCUUGCAGGUUGGUGUUCAUUAAGCGAGAAGCCAGAAGUUUUUGUGGCGUUUGGUGGUGAUUAAGUAACCACCGUGCUUGCGCUUCUUUGGUUUAACAGCUAUAGUCAUGCAAGAAGCGUUUUCGAGACAGUAUUUAAGAACACCGGCAUGUCCACGGCGUCUCUUCCAAGCCCAUCUCUUCAGUAGCCUCCAUACUGGAGGUUUCUUCUCUUGUCCAACUACUAAAAGAGUCACUUGCUGUUUCUUUGCUUCUUCAACUAUCUUUGCUCCUUUCUCUUUGUCUUUUCCUUCUAGCCUCCUUAUCUCCACUUCUAUCUGUCAUUAUAUACACAAAUCUAACACUAUCUCUAACUCCUGACAUAUAUAAGAAACAAUGGAGAGUGAAACUCACCCCUGGUCGUUUUGUUUGGGACAGUUUCUUCAGAGUGUGGACUAGUUCAUCAGUUUUCACCUCCCGUUUUCGGUUCUUCCUUUCACCUAAAACCAAAUCCCAAAAAACGUUAGGAGGCCAAAAUAAAGAAACAUUUAAACAAGAAAAUAUAGAAGAAGAACCUUUUCUAAAUGGUUGUGCAAAAUAUAGCAGAAAAAGAGUGUCUUGUGGUUGUAAGGUAUGUGUUAUAGCCCAUUCUAAAGCUCCUGUAGAAGCAAGGGCUUUAUCCACCACCACCAUUACUCUGUUCCCACCUUCUGCCUCCUCCUCUUUAGCCGUCUCAACCGCUACUCCCGCCUCUUUCUUCCCUUCUGCGCCUCCAUCUUGAAAGCUCUUGACGUCAUCUUCUUCUUUUUGCUCUUUUUUCUCUUCUUUUAUCACUACUUUGACGAUUUCUUCUUCUUGUUUGUCUUCAGUCUCUUCGCUUUCUCUGUUUUGGACUUUGCUUUCUUCUCCUGUGGAUCCAGCAUCAUCGGCAUUUUGACCAAGAAACUCGAUUCUUUGGUCUCUCUCUAUGGAACUGGAGUCAGGUUUGAACCUAAUGGACGGUGAGUUGAUCCGGACUCGUCGUAGGCUAAACUUGGCUGGUUUCUUGAGCGACCUUGCCAUGUCUUUUUCUCUAAAAUGGAAUAAUAAUUCUGCAACGCCUAGCGUUUGAGCAUAUGUAUAUAUGAAUACGUGAGGACAAUUUUAGAAGACGUGCGUGCCACUAAAUAUAUGUUGAUUGUUAAUGGUUCCACACGUUGUUUCUUUUUUUUUAUUUUAUUUUAAAAGAUAUCUUAUAUUUUUUUUUCGUUAAAGUAAUCGAGUGCAAGUUUAUUAGGUUCCACUAUCUUUUUUUUUUUUCCAUCAAAGGGAUUUAAUAUUAUAAAAGAAACGGGCCAAACCCAGUACAAUAUUAUAACAUAAGCCCAACAACAAAUAGGACACCCAAAUUUCUAAUGGGCUAAGCCCUACGGACCCAUCACGAGAAAACCCUAGGGAGCAGGCGGAAAGGCAUACUGCCGCCUCACUAAACCCACUUUUGGCCGCUUGUACACGUGUCGCGAUCCUCCUCCGCGAAGAAACACGUGUCACAAGGAUAGCGCCAUACCAUCUCAACUCGUCGGCGCCGGAGAUCCAACCACCGGACCACCCGGCCAAACCGGAGCUCCAUCGCUCCGUUCCUCUUUACUUUCACCCAACUUUGGGCCACUCAAGCCGGAGAGGCUCAAUCGCCGUAGCGAGAGCUCCUCCAUCAACAUUAACCACCGGGACCCGCCAGAGGAAUCGCAUGCAUCCUCAUUCUUUCCGCCGGAGCUCUUCCAUCUCCUCCGACGAACACACCAACCCACAGAAACAAACAAAAAAACCCGACCGAAGAAAAGAAAGAAACAAAACCCUAAAGAAUAAGGGCCACGAGCCGGCGACGCAAGGCUGAAGAAGCCUUCACCCCCCGGAGACUAGAUCCGAUGACGGCGGACCUGAAGGAGUUUCCCCGCCACGGAGACAAAAGACCGGCGGCGACGGAUCUGCGAUAGCCUCCGCCUCCCGGAGAUAUUAUUCCGACAACAACUAAGGUCUUCUCCGCGUCAUCUACACAGCCACCGCGUCGUUACUCCAGGACCAGAACCAAAGCGGUUGGUGGCAGACCAGAGAUCGGACAGGCGGGAACCGGCAGAAACGAGGAGAAGGCCGGAUCCUGGUAAUUUUAUCUGAAAGAAACACGAGCUCCGGCGGCGGCACGGACGCUCACGCGCCGGCCGACCGCCGAGCCCUCUGAAAAUUGCUUUCUCUCUCUCUUUCUCUCUUACAAAUCGUGGAUCUUUACUAUAUGUUUUAUUGAUCUCAAUUCACCCACUUAACUUGUUUUAUGCACCUCCUCAAUUAUUCUCUCUGGCUUAUUUGAAAAAAAAAAGUUUAGUUUAUUAGGUUCCACUAUCUAAUAAUGAUAUUUUUUUUUUUAAAAAAAACUGUAUUUGAAUUGGACGUAUGGAGUCAGAAUAUCCGAAAGUUUAUCCAUACUGCGUGGACCAUGCAGAUCAGUAAAAUAGUUUGAAAACUGUAGGAAUUUUACUAUCGUUUGAGAAAAUAUGUUUGUGUGCUCUAGAGUCGCUCGCGUGUAACAUCAAAUGUAUCUGAUCAUGAGAGAUCUUUAGGUGGCUUUUGUGUAGUCGUGGUCAAAAUCCUCCACCUAGUGUAGAAGCACAAAUCAAAUUUCGAAUUGUUUUUCUUUUUGCUAACUAUGGUGGCAACUGGCAAACCGCAAACCUCGAGACUAAUCCAAUCAUUAUCAUGAGUGAGGCGGCACACAACUCACUAAAACAAUGUUUUCAAUUUAAACAAGGGUAUAUAAACCAAAACGAACUAUAAUUUCUUAUCAUUUUAUCACAUUCAAAUUCAAUUAUUGAGAGGAUUAGGUGAGGAAGACUCGCUAAUGGCCAAAUAUAUACUACAUACAUUACAUCAAAAAGUUUGUUGAAUCGCAAUACCUUUGUAUUUCAUUUAUCAACUUUUCAGUUGAUAAGAGUUAAUGGAUAGUUUGGUGAUAAUUUAAUUGAAUUUACUAUUUGCUAUUAGAUAAUCUUUUUCAUAAUAAAGCAUAAUAACACAUUUAUUUGAAGAAACGACUCUGUUUAAAAUUAGUAAUGACACUUCAUGCAAAAACAGACACUACUAAUCUAGAUAACUAUAGUGACAAAGCGAAAGCCUUUAUAAUAAAGUGAGAGAGAGAGAGAACUAUAAGAAACUGAGAAAGCAAAGUUGAGCAAUCAAACAAAAAAAGCUAUGGCGGAUGACUCAGCAGCAGCCACUCCACCGUCAAUCGACGGCAACGCCCUCGUCGCAAAAUCCCUCUCCCAUCUCGGCGUCACGCACAUGUUCGGCGUCGUGGGAAUCCCCGUCACCUCCCUCGCCACCCGAGCCAUGGCUCUCGGCAUCCGCUUCAUCGCCUUCCACAACGAGCAGUCCGCCGGGUACGCCGCCUCCGCGUACGGCUACCUCACUGGCAAACCGGGAAUCCUCCUCACCGUCUCGGGCCCGGGGUGCGUCCACGGCCUCGCGGGCCUCUCCAACGCCUGGGCUAACACCUGGCCGAUGGUGAUGAUCUCCGGCUCGUGCGAUCAGCGAGACGCAGGCCGCGGAGAUUUUCAGGAGCUUGAUCAGAUCGAGGCUGUUAAAGCGUUCUCGAAGCUUUCGGAGAAGGCGAAGGACGUUCGCGAGAUCCCCAAUUGCGUUUCUAGGGUUUUGAAUCGAGCCGGGUCGGGUCGACCCGGCGGGUGUUAUCUGGAUCUUCCCUCUGACGUGUUGCGUCAGAGGAUCGUGGAGUCAGAGGGGGAUGAGCUCGUGGCUAAAGUCGAGACCUUUAGUGAUCACGUGCCGCAGGCACGUGCUUCUUUAAAAUCGGAGAUUGAAUCUGCGGUUAACCUUCUGAGGAAGGCAGAGAGGCCGUUGAUUGUGUUCGGUAAAGGAGCGGCUUAUUCACGCGCGGAGGAUGAGUUGAAGAAGCUCGUGGAGCUCACGGGGAUACCUUUCCUCCCUACUCCGAUGGGGAAAGGCUUGUUGCCGGAUACGCACGAGCUUUCGGCGACGGCGGCGAGGUCGCUAGCUAUUGGGAAAUGCGACGUCGCUUUGGUGGUUGGAGCUAGGCUUAACUGGCUUCUCCACUUCGGAGAGGCUCCGAAAUGGUCUAAAGACGUGAGCUUUGUGCUUGUUGAUGUCUCUGAGGAGGAGAUUGAGCUGAGGAAGCCUCGCUUGGGGAUCGUCGGAGAUGCUAAAACGGUGGUGGGUUUGUUGAACAGAGAGAUAAAGGACGAUCCUUUUUGUCUGGGGAAGACGAAUCCGUGGGUGGAGGCGAUCUCCAAGAAGGCGAGAGAGAACGGUGAGAAGAUGGAGAUGCAGCUUGCGAAAGAUGUGGUUCCUUUCAACUUCUUGACUCCUAUGAGGAUCAUCAGGGACGCGAUUUUGGCGGUGGAAGGACCGAGUCCUGUUGUGGUGUCGGAAGGGGCUAACACGAUGGAUGUGGGGAGAUCGGUUUUGGUUCAGAGAGAGCCGAGGACGAGGCUUGAUGCAGGGACUUGGGGGACAAUGGGUGUUGGUUUGGGUUAUUGUAUUGCUGCUGCUGUUGCUUGUCCUGAUCGGCUUGUUGUUGCCGUUGAAGGUGACUCUGGUUUUGGAUUCAGCGCCAUGGAAGUUGAGGUAGUAACACAAAACAUUAACUGUACUGUAGUUACCAUAAUGUGGAUUUUUCAUACUGUCUUUUAUGAUGCAGACAUUGGUUCGAUACAGUCUUCCUGUGGUGGUGAUUGUCUUCAACAACGGUGGUGUAUAUGGCGGUGACAGGAGGAGUCCUGAAGAGAUCUCGGGUCCUCAUAAAGAAGAUCCAGCACCAACGUCGUUUGUUCCAAAUGCAGGGUAUCACAAGCUUAUUGAAGCUUUUGGAGGCAAAGGGUAUAUAGUGGAAACGCCCGAUGAGCUUAAGUCCGCUCUCUCUGAGUCGUUCGCUGCAAGAAAACCAGCGGUGGUUAAUGUUAUUAUAGAUCCUUUUGCUGGUGCUGAGAGUGGGAGGUUGCAGCACAAGAACUAGAAGCUUGUGGUGUGUAAAUGUUUGGAAGUUGUAUUGUUGGAACAUAAAACGAUAAGCGUUUUCGUAUUUCGCUAUUACCAAAUUGAAUAAAAACACGUUUUCGGUUCUUCCUUAUGUUUUCCUUCGUUGUAAUAUACUGUGCAUGUUAAUCUUUAAUGGAGACUGUGAAAACACACAGAGAACAGAGUUGCCAAGAAUUAUAUUAAAUAGAUUGCAGCUUAACCAUGAUACUGAGACUAUAAAGUUCUUGUAACAGUUGCUUUACUGGUUAAGAAGUCCAAUGCUAAUGAGUUUUACGGAAAAAACUUCAAUCAAAUAGUGGUUUUAAUUAAGUAACAGAUGAUCAUUAUUAGAAUAAGAUCAGGGAAUGGAAAGCAGGAACCAGAUAACGUUCAAAUCAUAAUCGUAAUGCUCUUUGGAAUCUACAUUUAACUCAAAAACUGAUAACUAUGCAACUGAAUGACAACCUUGAUAUGAUUAUAGCUUCCUCAAAGAGGCUAAUGUAGACAAAACACUAUAGCUUCUUAAAAUUCAAAAACGUGCCAGAGAGCAAGAUCGUGAGGAAACCGUUGCCAUGAAGAUUAAACAAUUGUAGUCCAACAUUCAUUGGUCGCUGCAAAUCUUCCAAGAUUCUUGAUGCAGUAAGUAUUACUUCCAAAAUGUUCUGAAAACCCGCUUCUUAAGCCUUGGUAUCAUCUGAAGGAACCUUGUUGAAGAACUUAGUAAUCGAGGCUUGCUUUGGACCUGCAGAUUCAAACUUAGAAACAGCUUUUCCUUUCUUCUUUGGUUUACCUUUGAUCUUUCUGUUCCUUUUCACAGGAGAAAGGCUGAUCUUCUGUGAACUAGCCACGCUCUUGAGCUUGUGAAACUGCGAUGACUGACAAGUUUCAUUUCCCUCGGUUUCACAGUUUAGAAGCUCCAGUUUCGAAACAAGUGCCUCGUGGUUACCCGAACUAAACGCAUCUCUAGAAGUGAGAGAUAAAACAUCAGCAGGGACUUGCUCGUAGAAUAUAGUCUCGUGUUCAUAGAAAUCAUCAACUAUCUCAACUACGUUCCUACACGUCCCUCUAACCAUAUCUGUUACUUGUUCUUGUGUAACCCAUUUAGGCAAACAGUUCCUAAGCUCUUCCACAAUCUCCUCCUUACCACAUGACCCUUGCAAUGAAACCUUCUCAUCACCCAUCGUUAGAUCUCCUCAAAAGAAGACAACGGUUCACACUUGUCCUGAAGCAAUAGUAUUCUCAAACUGUUCCUAACGUCACAUGCAAAUCAAUCCUUUCUUCCUCUAGAAUCCAGCAAAACUCUGCUUUAUCAAAGAUUGAUCAAUACUCUUCCUAAAACGGUAAAGCCUAAAUCGUCACCGAUGUUCUUCUGUUCAACACCGGUUCGUAAAAUAAUUAAUAAAUAAAUAAAUCGAACCUUACAGUGGGAAAACUGAAUCUCCGGCAAGAAUCUUCCAAUCGGUAGCAAUCAGAAGAUGCAAGGCAUUGACCCGCCGAUUAUUAACUCACGAACGGGGGCGACCGGCGACGGCGUCGUGUCGAAGAGACCAAACCAAUGCGCACGUUACGAUUCGUGGGUUGUACUUCUGUCGGAAAAAAAAAGUAAUUAAAUUUAAUUUUUAAUAUUUACAUAUUAAUAGAUAAUAGGUGAAUUAGCUAAAUAAUCUUAAGUUUUGGAGGUUGUUAAAAAAAUAAGUUUUGGGCUUUUUAUCCAAUUAGAUAAAUGGCUACAUAUUUUAUUUUUAUUAAGAUAUGUGACUAUGGCUCCGAAUGGUAACUGCGGUUUGAACGGUGCAGGACAAACGUUUUAAUUGCGGUGUGAUUUUAACAGUUAUAAAAGUAUAGAUAUAUCAUAUACAUAGAGAUUUUUGUUAUGGUUAACUGUGGUGCGGGAUAGGACGGUUCGUAACAUUCGAAACCUAUAUAUGUUUUUGCAAUAUUAAACUAGAUAAAUGACUAUAGUUAUUUCACUAACUAGCACUUUACUACUUUAGUUUAAUAUUUUUACAAAUAGAAAUACUAUUUCCUUAAUUUUAUGAGAAUUCGAAGCUUUUUAUCGAAUAUGAAUUUUUUUUUUUUUUUGCAUCAUGUUAACGCACUUAAUUUAUAUUGCAACCAAAAAAAUAUUAACCGACAUGACCAACACGACUGAAUAGUGAUUUCACAUCUCUACGUGAAAAUGACUACUAAUGAAUAUAUCAAAUCACAGAUUCGUAUAUUAUCUAUGUUUAUCAAUAGAAACAGUUUAUACUUUUUAAUUCUUUAAAAUAUUACUCAAUAAUUUCCCUGAAGAUCGUUUUUAAGAUAUCAUCAACGUUCACAUGUAUAUCAGAACAUUUGUUAUCGAAAACAUUCUCAGGCGCAAGUGGAAGUUCAAAUGGUGUAUAUUAUAUAGGGGAUUUGCACUAGAUAGCAAAAAUAUAGGAGAUAAUAAAAUUGAAGAAGUAAAUACGUGAGUUUACCAAUUUGAGAAGCUAAAAUCAUAAUUCACAUUAAUGGACAAAAAAUGAAGCGAUCACAUGUUCAUUCUCAACCAAUGUCUCUUUCUGUUCAUCAAUACCACAAAAGAGAAACCACUUGCGCAUAGAGGAUAAUGAAACAAAAAAAUAAUAAAAUUUGAAGAAAAAUCAAAUUUCCAUUUAUGUUUGAUUUUGCAUGCGUUAAGAGAAAGAUUCUUCAACUAUAGUUUCUAACUUCGGCUUCUUAGAUUUCGAAACCGAGAUCCUAUGCAUAAACUCCGCCGCCGAAAACUCUUCUAUGUCUUCCAAGUUCAGCUUUGAUCCCGCUGAUAGUGAUAUCAUCUUGACGUCAUCUUCUCCUCCGUCCGGCGAUACCCUUCCAUUGUGACAGCUUUUCACGGCUGUUCCAACACCAGAAGAUUUAGGUCCGACUCGGCUGCGUUGUUGUUUCUUGGCUGCUGCGAAUAAUCUUGCCAUAUCCGAAGCGUUAGCUGCUGACGUGGCACGCGUCAUAGGGAAAGCGAUGUACACGUGGCAGCUUUUUAUUUGAAGAUCAUCAUCGGCGGCUAACGGGUUAAACUUCCGGCCGAUUUUUAACGACUUGGCGUCUACGAGGAAGAAGCUUGGAAUCUCCAUCAUUAGCUCUGCGGCUUUGGUCGGCUCGUGGAUACGACGGACCUCACCGUCAGGGAGAAUCACUCUCGCCGCCGGGGAAGACGACGUUUUGCUUAGAGCGGAAGAAACGUAGUUUCCCAUAACGUGAAGGAAGGUGGAAGUUUAUUAUUUGAGAGAAAAGGAGAACUUAGUUGUAAACAAAUGGAAAGGAAGUGUGUUAGGAGAAGAUCCAAGAAGGCAUGAGUGUUAUAUAUACAAGAGAAUGUUCGUGGAAGAAUACUGUUAGAAAAGUAUUUUUAUAAUGUGGUGGAGAUAGACAGUUGUGCGUAUACAGGUUGACAUUAUAUGGUUGAAUGCGCGUCUUUCCAUUUUAUUAUUUAUUCAAAAUAUAUUUCCGUGUUUUCACUAGUCUAUGGCCAUCACAUUCUUUGUUUCUUCGUAUCACACUUGACUCUACAAUUUUUUUAAUGGAAGUUAUAAGUUGUAAACGACCGAAACGAAGUUUCUAACUUAUACCAUGCGACCAAAUAUUUGUCAACGAAAGUUACAGACUUACAGGUUAUGCAACCUUUUCUGUGUUUAGAAGUUAACUAUCCAACUGUAAUCUUUAUAUUCCCGUAUGGAUGGUUAUCAUCAAUAUUACAUUAUGACUAUGUAAACUCUUACAUAACAUAAUGAAGUAUUUAGACGGAAAGCUAUGUAUUAUAACUGCAGCAAAGAUUUAACAAAGGUUUGAAUCCAUAAUUGCAGCAACAAUACUAGAUAUCUUGGCAUAAUGAUAACUUCAUAAACUAGAUCUAACAAAGAUUUUAAAAAUUUGAAUCAUACCACGUAAUAUGAGUAAUAUAUAACCUGACUCUGGGAGUAUGGAAGGAAAGGCGCAACGCAACAUAAUAGUAUUAUUACCUCCAGUUGUUAUCUCACAAGUCACAAGUUUGAAAUGAUAAGGUUUAUAUACAUAUAAUAUUUUUUUUUUUUUUUUUUUGAAUUGAAUGUUAAAUUGAAUUCAAAAAAAAAAACCUUUUUACAAUACUAAGUGAGUCCUUUCUUAUAAAAACUAUACUAGAAAAUCAAAAAAAAAAAAAAAAAACUCAUACUACUACUCCAAUCAACUACUCUUCCAUCACUCAAAAGAACUUCUUCAAUACCUAGCCCUCACUCCUACUAGGCACCUAGCUCUCACUCCUACUAGGACAUUCCUCCUCCUUGAAAAACUUACCCAGCUCUCACUCCUACUGGGCACCUAGCUCUCACUCCUACUAGGACAGCCAAGCUUAUCUUGUUCCAAACCAAAACUGCAAUCCUCCUUCAUACUUCUUAUCCCUCCCUUGAAUGAUAUAAAGCUUAUUCCUUACAGUUUUUUCAAUGAGCUUAGUAAGAAGACAGUGAGAAGAUCCUUGUUCCCCAUGUCUCCUCCUAUUUCUCUCCCUCCAAAUAUAAUGCACUGAAGUUUGGAAAAGAUAGCGAAUGGUAAAGAGAAAUAGCCUCCCCUGAUUCUCAUCCACUACAAUCCUUUUAAUUUCAGACCAUCUCGCAGUGAAGCUAUCCUUUAGCACUCCUCUUGCCAAAUUUUCCCAAAUAAGACUAGUAAAAGAGCACUGAAAGAACAAAUGCUCAAUGGACUCCAGCGGGUCUUGAUAAAAGCUGCAGGAAGUGUUUACACCUAUAUCCCAUUGAGCCAUCCUACUCCCUGUGGAAAGUCUGUCUCGCAUUGCUACCCAGAGAAUGAAAGAAUAUUUAGGGGUAUAGUAUUUAAACCAUAUCGCCUUAUACCAGUCACAAUGUUGGUGCUUCUCACGUACUACUUGCCAAGUCUCACUGGUUUUAAACUCUUUCUUAUAAAUAUCCUUCUCAUUCCUCCAAAACGAUAUAUCCUUCUCUUCAAGAUAUAGUUUCUCCUUGAUCUUCUCGAUUUCCAAUUCAACUCUAUUUAACAUAGAGAACCGGUGAUUCUUCUUCCUGUGAUUUGUACACUCAGCAACUUUUGCAUCUUCCUUAAUUCCCAUCUCAAUGUAUCUACCCUCCCCCAAAAUCUCAAUCAAACGACCCAUAGGAGACCAUUUCUCGUACCAGAAAGAGGCUUUCAAUCCAUUCCGAACAUCAACCAUAUAGAAAAGCUUUGCUCUGUCUCGAUGUUUUAAGAUCUUCUUCCACAUCCAAGAACCCAUCUGAGUGGUACUUUUAAUCGACCAGAGAGAACCUUUCCUUAUAAGAUAAAUCUGAACCCAUCUGACCCAAAGAGAUUCUGCAGAUAGAAUCCUCCAAAUAAGCUUCAAAAUAUUAACCACAGACAUUUCUUUCAAUGAUCGGAUGCCUAAACCACCUUCCUGUUUAGUUCUACAAACUUCUUUCCAACUAACCUUCACUCUUUUGCUCUUCAAAUCAGUACCCGACCAGAGAAAAGCAGAGCAGAUUCUUUCAAUCUCUCGGAUACAGCCACUUGGUAAUUGAAAAGCUGCCAUCCAGAAGUUUACAAGGCUCAUAAUCACUGAAUUUAUUAACUGGAGUCUCCCGGCAUACGAAAGAAAACGUCCUGUCCAGGAUCCUAUCCGCUUUCUAAUCUUCUCAAUCAGCGGAAGAAAAUCUCCUACCGUCAUACACUUAGUCAAUAAAGGAAGACCUAAGUAUCGAACUGGUAAUUUACCUGAAGCAAAAGGAAAAUGACCCAAAAUCUCCUCUUUUUUCUGCUCACCAACCCCAGCCAGAAACAGAGUAGACUUUUCCAGACUUAUCUUCAACCCUGACAUUUUAUCAAAAGCUUCAAAAACUUGCAAAAUACUUUCUACAGAUCGCUGAGACCCAUCAGCAAACACCAACAAGUCAUCCGCAAAGCACAGAUGUGUGAGAGCAAUAUUUUUACAUUUCGGGUGAAAACCUGUCCGACCUUUAGCUGCUGCCUCAUCCAAGAGUUUCGAAAGCACAUUCAUACAAAUGACAAAGAGAUAGGGGGAAAGAGAGCAAUUGUCUUAGCCCCCUACUGCUCAUAUACAUAUAAUAUUAACCAGUAAUAGUAAUGCGAAAUUAAUGGUAAGAUACAAAACUAGAAGGUUUCCACUUACGUAAGUUGCGUGUGGGACCUGUCCCUCGUUUCCUUCGUACUUUCGAUUUGGUUGAUUGUUCUGCGGAAUCUUUCGUCUGAUUUGGAAGAUCCUUUGACUUACAGAUGCGACUGUUCCCCUUACCCAUGGGACUCUGAUCUUUGUUUCCAGUUUCUUAACUUUUUCAUUUUCCUAUUACAAAUUUAUGUCAAGAAUUAUAUGUUCAUGUCUUAAUAUGUUUUCAGAAUACGAUUGUGUACCAUAUGAUCUUUGCAUAGCUGAUUUUUAAUAACUCAAAUCGACUAGUUUGAAAUUAAUUUGAUAACUUCAUUAUCUCCAUUUAAAGGAUUUAGUUGCUUAUAAUUAAUGUCAUUCUACACAUUAUAAUAUACAUUAUAUAUAUAUUUAUACAUGUUCUGAUAAUCCUGGUUUAUGGAUAGUCGCUAGUCGCCUAGUCAGGCUGAUAGACCAUAACUCAGAUUAAAUUUUCAACAAGGUUGCAUUUUGUUCAGCCCAACAAAGUAAAGUUUCAACCAAAUCCUAAACAGGUCCCCGGUUUGGUUAAUAGCAUUUAGUUUAUGUUAUAGUUGCCGAUCUUUCUACAUGCAUGCGGGCCACACAUUUUUGUACCUAUGUAGACGACCUCUUUACUAUGGGCAGAUUUGUAUUCAAUAUUUUUAGCCGUUUAAGCACACUCCCCUAAACUCAAUUGUGCUAAGUGCUAACGAAUAAAAAAAGCCCUUCAGCUUGAUACCCUCUUAACUCAGACUAAUUCCAUGUGAUCAGUUCAAUAAAAAAGGCCCGUGAAAUCAAUACAAUACUAAAAGCUGAAUAAGAGCAUCAGAUAGCAUGUCCACGUCAACAUAAAAAAUCGUCCAAUGGAGAACUGUUUACUGUCCAUGUAGGCAGUUGGUGGGACCCGCCGAAAAAAUCUGUGAGUUAAUCGUUCCUAGGCUUAAUUAUUUUUCUUCUGUGGCCUUAUUGACGAUGCUCCGUGGCCCAUUAAGCAUAUGUGCUUAUGUCCACUUUACUGGGACCGAAUCGUGACAAAAAAAAAUCCUCUUUAUCUCCUCAUCUUCCUCGACAGUUUAGAUUUGGGACAUCACCUCCAAUGCCCAAUCUCCUCCUCAAUCAAUCUCCUAUGCACCAUAAAAUAUACUAUACCCAUCAAGCAUUAAUGAAUAUGUGAAAAGACCAAAAGGACAUAUUUUAAUUGGAACCAAGAAUGUCCCAAACCAAAAUCGGCAUCCAACAUAACUCGGGUUUGGUCGGAUCUGAAUUGGAUUGGUCUGUAAAAAAAAUUAAAAGUGGUUCUUAUGUUUGUUGGUUUGGUCUAAAAAAAAGAAAAAAGUGAAUCCCGAUUCUCCCCGAGCUCCCCUCCCCCCAGACCACCCAACCUACAGCUCCUCCUGCAGCUCCUCCUCCACUCUCCCCCUCCUCCACUCCUCCUCCACUCCUCCUCCACUCCUCUCUCUCUCAGCUUCUCGAACGCUGCCGGUAAGUUAUGCUCUGUUCGAGCAUUAUUUCGGAAGUAGGUUUUGGGGGUUUUAAUAGAUUUGUAAUUGUGACAAGUUUUGUUUAGUUUCGGGGUAAAUUUCGGUAUAAUGAAUUUCGGUAGGUGAAUUGGAGUUGAGGGAUAGGGAUAAACCCUAGAUUAUUCAAUUGUUCUUGAUAAAUUGUAGUAAAACUGAAUAACUGGGUACAACUGGUAGAAUUAGGAAAACAGGAAAAAUUCGAAUAACUGGUAAAACUGUAGCAGGAUAAUAGUAGGGGAAAUUGUAGUGAGUUUCUUUUGUUUGGUUCCUUUUGGCAGGACACAAUGAGCAAUCACGUCAGAGAUAUACCUGGUAGUCCGAAAGAGAGCUACAAGAUGUUGUAUAGCUAUUUGUACAUGUUAGAGCAAGUGAAUCCGGGGACAAAAACCUGUUUGAAAUUGGAUGAUAGAAGUAAAUUUGAGUACCUUUUCAUAGCUUUGGGAGCUUGCAUUGAAGGGUUUGCAGUUAUGAGGAAGGUGAUAGCUGUGGAGGGGAUACGUCUGAAGAACGGUGGUGUUUUAGUUUUCGCGAAAGCUCAGGAUCCUAAUGGUCAGAGUUAUCCACUUGCGUUUGCAGUAGUAGAUGGUGAGAAUCUUGCUAGUUGGACUUGGUUUUUCGAGAUGCUUAAAAGUGUUAUACCAGACUCUUCUGAACUGGUUUUCAUUAGUACUCUUCAUCAGAGCUUGAUUUUCGCCAUAGGAAACGUAUUUCCACAGGCUCACCAUGGUCAUUGUUUAUGGCAUUUGAAGGAAAAGGUGAAAUUACAUGCUUGUAACGUCAACAAGAAUAUAGUCGGGCAAAAACUUAUGGAGUUGGGCAGAUAUUACACGGUUGAUGACUUCAAUUCUGCUUACGACUCAUUUAAGAUAAGAUGUCCAGCUGCGUACAAGUAUGUGGAGGAAUGUGGUAUUGAAAAGGACAAAUGGGCAAGGGUUUUUUUCCCACGUGAUAGGUACAACUUGGAUACAAGCAACACUCUGGGAUCAAUGAAGAACGUGUUUAAAGAGGCAACAAGGUGGGCCUUAAUACCAAUGCUGGAUUGUAUCAUUAGGAAAUUCUCUGAUUGGUUCACUCAACGGAAGGAUGUUGUUUCUAGAUCAAUGAAUACAAGACUGGUGCCUCGGGUUGAGAACUACUUGCACGAUCUAUGGGCUGUUGCACAUAAGUUACCUGUGCGGGAACUUGAUAGUUACGAGCUUAAGUACGAGAUCACUGACACUGCAGGAAAGGUGUUUUGGGCGACCUUGGUUGGAAAAACUUGUACUUGCAAGGUGUGGGACUAUGAAAAGUUCCCUUGUCUGCAUGGACUGGCAGCUUAUAUCUAUUUCGCUAGGAAUGUUGAUGGCAGGCGCCUUGAUAUCCAUGAGUUGUGCUCAAAAUACUACUGGACGGAAAUGUGGCAUUUGGCGUAUUCCAGAACACUUAAUGUUGUGCCCGACAUGGCUUCUUGGAAUGUACCAGAUCAGAUCAAGGAGGUGAAGAUCAUACCUCCAUAUCGCAUCAAGCGGCAAGGAAGGAAAAGAGUUUAAAUUUGGAUGAAUUUGGAGUAAUGCAUAUUUCGAGUAAUGCAUUUGGGUACUUGAUUUUGUGGCUCUUGAACUUUGUUUCAUUUCGUGUUGUAUCGUGUUGUAUGACUUGGAAAACUGCGUAAACUUGAAAUCUACUUUGUUUUGUAAUGACAUUAGUAUUAUCUAUAUCAAAACUCGAAUCUCAUAGUUUUUUCUCUAUCAAAACCUGAAUAUCAUUGUUUUAUAUUUGUUUUCGCAACUCUAACAUAUAUUUAUAAUAAAACUCGGUUAUCAAUUUCUGAAAUUUAGGAAAAAAACUCUCAUGUAUCCCUUACGAGACCUUGUAAUUCCAAUAACACUUUGUUGGCCAAAGACAUCUUACAAACGAAACUUUCGAGUUAUAUCUAUUCGCUAAAUAUAAUUGCACGGAACUAUAUAUAUAACAAUUUAAACUAGUAAUAUUGAAGGUAAAACUAGAUAACCAAUUUUAAUAGAUUAGUAACACUAAAUAAAUUAGAAACCGACAAAAAUAUAACUAUGACCAAAGUUGGGAAUACUAGUAUCUUGGGUAUAACUAUGAACAAAUUUUUUUUGGGCAAUUAUCUCAACCACACAAAUUUACUCCCCUCCCAAAGCCUUUCAAGUACUUUCAGUUUGACUUUUUAUCCCUUUUUCAUCUCUCCCUCUCUCUUUCUCUCUAUUUCUCCCCCCAUUUCCUCUUCCCCCCCUCUCUCCCGUGUCUCUCUCCCUCUCUCGUCUCUCUUCUCUAUUUUGAGAAUCGAAUUCUCUUCCCCCCUCGCCGAGCAAGUGAGAUGGAAAAAGUGAAGAUGGAAGUGGGUUCGGGUUCGGGUUCGUCUUUAUCGCAAAGGAGCCGCCGCCGAUUUUCUUGUCUGAGGUUGUGUCACUGUGGCUUGCCGGCGAAAAUAAGGCAAGCUUGGACUGAGAAAAAUCCUGGUCGACACUUUUAUGGCUGUCCGCGUUUUAAGGUAUGAAUAUAUGAUGGAAUCUGGAUAUAAUGGAAUCUGAAUUUGAAUUGGGUUUGAAUUUUGACCUUAUUGCAGCUUGGAAAUGAAUGCAAUUACUUCUCUUGGUUCGAUGAAGAGGUUGGUACAGAAUGGCAAAGGAGAGCAUUGCUUCAAGCCCGUGAUGAAAUCCAGGAGAAGGAUAAAGUGAUUGAGCAAUUACAGAAGACCAUUUCUGAAAUGAAAAGUCACUUGGAGAAGAAGAAGACAGGGAAGGGCGGGGGCGGGAAUGACGAAAAUGAAGAAGAUGACAUUGUUAGGAAGUUUGAAGAAUUGUAUGCUUAGUUUAAGUGUGGUGUUGAAGAAUUAGUUUUCCUAGUAUUUCUAGUUUUCCUAGUUUUCAUUAAGUUCUACAAGUUCUCCUAGUUGUCCUAGUUUUCAUUAAGUUAUCCUACUUUUCUUAGUUUUCCUUAAGAGGCACAUUCAAAAAAUAAUCAUAAGAACUUCCAUGAUAACAAGAUUGCAACAUCCAUGAUAACAAGAACAAGUUCCAUCCAACAUACCUAAUAAGUCAAUAGGUUUCCAACAUCCACACAACAACAAAAUAAUGGGUCCAACUUCCCACAAAAUACAUAACCGAGUUUACAAAAUACAUAACCGAGUUCUUCACUCCCUGCUUCCUUGCCCUUCAUCCAUAGCUUUCUUCAUAAACGCCUCAAACGGAACCACCAUCCUUUCCUCAAACUUGUCCAUUGUCUUCUUAACUCUCUUUAGCUGAGUGCCAAACAUUUUCACUUGUUUGAUCAACUCCUCCAUCAUCUUCUUCUGGCUUGCGCCUCCUUCCUCUCCACCUUCUUCGUCAUCCUGAUCUUCGUCGACAGCCUCUUGUGCAUUUGGAUCACGCGCAGCAACGUCUACAUCAUACAUCUCUUCAAAAAAGACUGAAUGUCCUUCCGCAAGACGCUUUAUCCAACUGUCAACAGAAAUAUCAUCGACAUCAACGUCGUCCUCCUCUUCAGUCAUCUCUUCCAAAAGAGCUACUUCUUCUUCUGUCUUGGUAGGAAGGAUGCUGUGGAUAUCCCGUGACUGAUACCAAAAAAUUAAAACCAAAAAAUAAUCUUAUGUUAGUAUAAUGCUACAACAUUUUCAAAGUUUGUAGGGGAAGAAACAUACCGUUAUUUUGUCCAGUUUGUCCAGUUCCCGAUUCAAUUUUGAAAGUGAAAACCCUUUCAUCCCUGCUGAUUUAAAGACUGAUCUGCACAUCCUAGGACAGUCUACAUCGACGUCUUCAACCUCUUUUCUGAACUUCAAUCCCAACUUGGGAAUUGCCUCAAAAGCAAGCAACUACAUACCAAUCAUGUACAAACACUUAACACAAUAAAAUUAACAAAUGAUAAGGUGAUUAUCUUCAAUUGCUUACCUCCAGUGGCAGACAGAAACCUGGAAGUGGCCAUAAAGUCUUCUCUCUAACCCGGCCUCCAAAAUGAUCUAUGGUGUGCGAUAUCUCCUUAACCAUGUAAUCAAACGAGUACCUCCCCCAUGGAAAGUUUUCGCAGAACUCGAGAUCGUCCACAGCUCUUUGGAAGAAUUCCAAAACAUCUCUGGCGCCUUUUCCUACUUUCGUUUGCGCACAGAUAACACUUCCUAAAAAGAACAAAACCAUCAUCUUCAGCCGGUCUCUGUGUUCUCCCAUAGCCAACAGCUUCGCUUUGACAUCCUCAAGCCUUAUUGAUUCUCCCUUCUUGAAAUGGCGCUUCACGAACUUUCUAUCACCAAACUCCUUAUACCCAAGUGGAUAGUUGCGGCAGCUAAGACCUGAGAUCAAAGCGUGUUCUCUCAGGCCAUAGCGGAUGGGAACACCAUUCACAAUGAACCACACUUCCUUCCUCUUCGAGCUAUCCACUGUCCGCAAUAGCAACAUCCACAUUCCUUGGACCAUGUGGUUUGAGUCUUUCUCCAGGUGGAACACGUGACAGAAUUGUGGAUGCUUCUCAAACCACUUCCUCUCAGUAUCACUCAUCGGCGGUUCCAGAUUGUCAAAUGUAACCAUAACGUCUUUGACGAAACAUUUGGUCGCUAGCUUUAUUUGUUUCUUGUACUCCGACUCAUAGAAGUACAUCCUCAACGGUUUGAUUGCCUCGGUUGCCUCUAAUUCCUGCAAGUAACAUUGUGUUCUACAUCAGUUAUGCAAGUACUAAAACAUAGUUCUCCUAAGUUAUCCGAGCCUUUCCUAGUAUAUCUAGUUAAACCCUAUUCAAGUUCCACACUUAUUACCUCUUCUCCUUGCCCGAGAACCCCUUCACCAUCACCAUCAACAUUUCCUAAUUCCGCUUCCAAUGGGGGUUCUCCUUGUUCUUGAUUUUCAUUUUCAUUUUGACCUCUGUUCUCUUCGGGAGUCCCGUUCUCUUCUUCUCCGGUGUCUUCCUCCUCUUGGAUUUUUUCUUCAUCUUUGUUCUCUACUUCUUCAUCGCUAUUUCCUUCUUCCUCUUCAUCUUUGUCUCCAUUUUCGUCUUUCUCUUCUUGAGAUUCAUCGCUAUUUCCUUCUUCCUCUUCAUCUUUGUCUCCAUUUUCGUCUUUCUCUUCUUGAGAUUCAUCGCUAUUUUCUUCUUCCUCUUCAUCUUCGUCUCCAUUUUCUUCUUCCCUUUCUUUCUCCUUCUCCGAUUCUUCUUUCUCUUUCUCCCGAUCUUCUACAUCCUUAGCCGGUUCUUCUACUUCAUUCUCCUCCGCAACUCCCACGGUUCCAACAAAAUCAACCGCCGGUGAUUCCUCAUCCGUCGUUUUUCUCUUCUUGGAACUCUUCUUCGGUUUGUUCUUCUUCGAGUUCUUCGAGGUCCCGCUCUUUUGCGGAGGAGGAGCCGUUGGAGGAGGCCUAUCCUUUCUCUUACCCAGCCUAGUUUCAACCAUGAUUCACACGUUUUCGGUGAAUAAUCGAAGGGAAAUCGAAGGAAUCGAAGGGGAGUGGGAUGUUCUAGGGUUACGUUUUCGAAUUUGGGGGAAACCGUUGAGAGAGAGGGGAUCCCGAGAGAGAGGGGAAAUGGAAAUAAAGGGGAGACUUGGUUUAAAUCGAAAUUGAGUGGUUAUUUGGAUUCGGGUUCGAGAUGGUUAAAAUCGAGAUUGGAUCGGAGGGUUUAAGUUGGAUUGGGAACGGUUAAGUCUAAUUUAUGAUCUUUGGUUCGUAUUUCAAUUCGAUUCGGUUUUCUCUCCGGUUAAACUUGGUAAAACCCGUAAAUAGUUUACCUUCCUUAGGGUUAACUGUAAAUUCCAGCAAUUUGCCAUUUUAUAUUUUUUCCUUUUUGUUUCAUGUCCUUCAAAGAUUGACCGAUAAGGAGGGUGGGCAUUGGAGGUGAUGUCCCUUUAGAUUUAGGGUUUCUUCAUCAAACUAUUCACUUCACAACUACAAACGUAUCCUUUAUAUUUCCCAAAUUAAAUUCAUAAACUGUUCAUCUUUCUCUAUCUAUACAUCCUCCCGUCUUUACUCAGCCUAUCAAUAAUGGUUGGGUUUCGAAGUUCUCACCAAUAUAUAGUUCAUCACAGAAGGAGUCCUUCCUCUACCUGCUUCCGUUGCUCAAGCCGUCUGCGACUCAACUUUUGAGGCUCUUUGACUUGCCUGGAAUUCUCAAUUCAUUGUUGCUCGCCUCCUCAGCUUCUGGGAGCAUCAGACAGCCUGUCUCAGUUUCUGGGAGACGCCUAACGUCAAGAAAAAUGCAGGUACUUCCAUAUUUUGUGUUUUUGUUUUUAAGUUUUGAAAUACUAAUUUUUGUUUACUUUAAAUUAGUGUGGGUUUUGUCAAGCCAGAGCCAAAUCGGCAGACAUCUCCAUGCGCUGGACAACGACAUCAAACUUCAUGCUCUGCCGGAGAAACAUCACGUGACACAGCCAGAGAGUUGGAACCAUCACACGCUUUGGAGGAAGACGAUGGUAAUGGAGAGUCAAACGCAAACACUGGUGUGGCUUUGGUAUGGAGAGGUUCUCAGAUGUGUCUAAGGAAGAAAGAAGGAUCUCGAUUCCAUAUAGUAUAACAUCUAACUUUGAAAGUAUUGAACGUUAAUCUUAGUAUCUACUUAAUCUAAUGUGUUUGUGAUGUCCACUUAAGUUUUCUUCCAACCUUUCAGGAAUGGUCAGAAGCACUCAUUCACCGUGAAGCCUGAUUUUUCUGUUGGGAGUAAUCAGAAGCCUUCUGCUGCAAGAAAAGAACUCAGGUGUCCUUUGAUUUCUACUAGGGAGCCGUUUAAGUGGUGUUGGUUUCAUGUCGGUGCAACUACACAAGUAGAUAUCUCUUGCUGUGGUUUUAGCCAUGUUUGUGUCUUUAUUUUUUUCAGAUCUUUUUUUUUGUGGGAUCCAGAAUCAAGGUUGUUUUUCAAUGUGUUUGACUUCCAUUUUAUAUUAGCUAGGAUAUUGUUUGCCUUCCAUUUUUCAACGGAAGUUGACUUAGGAUUUUUAGUGAUCUAUUGCAGGAUUCAGCAGAGGCAGUUGCAACAGCUUAGAGCUUCUACAAUGGCUGAGAAAGUGGAAGAGUCUUUGUGCCUCGAGAUGAAACUCUGAGAAAUAGCAUGAUAAUCUCCUUUUCAACAACCAUCAUGAGUUCGGGAGUCCAUUAACACUUUACGUUUUUUCUUUUAUAUUUCUUAAAUUUGUGGAGACAGCCCUGAUGUCUUCUGAUUUGGUUUUGGUUUUGUAGGUUCAAAGCCUAGAAUUUAUCCAGCGUUCAAUAUCUAACAAGGAAGACAAUUAGAUUCUUUAAAAUUUUGAUUGGGUAAAUGGCUGUAGAGUGUACAAGUAAUGCCUACAUUAUUGAAUAUAUGUAACAGGUACUACUCAAUGUACAGACGUGUGGAGAAAUGUGAUUGAGUUUGGAUUUGAACUGGAGAUACAUUCAUCCAUCGUUAACAAGUGUGGUGGAGUGUAAAAGGUACUACUAAAUGUACAGACAUGUGGAGAAACUAGCACAAGAGAUUAGGAAAGGUGCUGCUUCUGUUGAUAUGGUGUCGUUGCCAAACUAUGGCAGGUCAGUCAGUAAUCUCUUACUGGCGUUUCUAUGGAGAAUAUCUGACAAUUCUAGGCUACAAUGAGACACAUAAACUGAUAAUGAAAUCAUUGAAACAGAAUAGGAAUUGAAGUUAGAAAUAAGUUCUUAUGUCUGAAUGAAAGAGGAAAUAUAUCUCUAUAUUUUUAUUUACUUGUGAAUGUCUUUAUCUGCCACCAUUUUAGGCUAUGUGAUAAUCUUUUGAGUGACAUAACACUUAUCAUCUCAGAUGCAUGUUUUCAGCUACCUUAAAUUUAACUUGCAUCCUCUCAGAGAAACAAGAAGACACUCAUACUGAAGCAUCGAGCUAAGAGUUUGUUCUUGACAGGUACCAGGGACGCUCCAAGAAGAUCUGCUCUGUAAGAUGAGUGCACCACCAAACAGUGAUGCUCCUCUUAUCACCUCCAACGACCUUGCCGAGGCUGAUGCGUUUGUCUUUGGCUUCCCAACAAGGUUCAGUAUGAUGGCUGCUCAGUUCAAGGCAUUCUUAGGUGCAACUGGUGGUCUCUGAAGGACUCAACAACUUGCUGGUAAGCCAGCCAGAAUAUUCUAGAGCACCAGGGUCUCAAGGUGCUGGUCAAGAAACCACCGCGUAUGUUUCUUUUCCAAACCAACACCUCAUUAACUACACUUGCUUCGGUUCUUAUGUUUUGUAGUGUUUACUUGUGUUAUCAUUGAUUUCUAACACAAUUCGGUUUUGUAAUAUUUUUUAUCAGGAGUCAAAAACUAUAUCUUUAGAACUAACUCUAUUUUUAUAAAUCUUGAUCUUAUACCAGUUAUUUGUCUGGGCGUUGCUCAAAAAAAAAAGAUAACUUAUUUGUCUAGGCAAGAUAAUAACGCUAUCAUACAAAUUCUACUAACCCCUUUUCUGAGGCCGACAAAACACCAAGAAAAUACGAAACCAAAUAUCGCCCAUAUAAGUGUGUAAAUACUUUUUCAAACUAUUGAAAAUAUAGCAACCUAAUCCAAAAUCAAAAUCGAAAAUUCCAUACACUGUUCAGAUUCACGCAUUCAAAUUGAACUCAAAAUUUUAUUAGGUUUCUCAUAAAAUUAUUUGAAUGGUUCCUAUAUUUUUGAACUGAAAUCAAAAACCAUAAUCGAACUAGAACCAAACCAAAACUUAAAAAACAUAAUUCCGCGCUUUUAAGCAUAUAGUUAAAAAGUUUUGAGCAUAUAAUAUUAUUUUUCAUAAGAGAAAAUAAAAAAAUACAUGAGAGACAAAUCCAUCUUUAUUAUGAAAUUACUCUAUUUUAGAAAAAAAAUAGAGGAUUACAUUAGAAAUGGUCUAAGGCAUGGCCGAGGUAAAUGAUCAACGUUGAGAUUUCAGCUUUCCUAAUUCUUACUAUUCUAAUGUUUUAAUAUAAUUUGAAUUCCCUUUGAUUUAUAAUAUAAUGGUUUAAAAGUAUUUUUUGUUUCACUAUAUAAAUUGUUUUUAUAUUUCAAUGUAACUUUAUAUUUAUUGGAUAUUGUCUUGCCAAUUAAAUUAUGUAAAUUACUGUGUAAUUGAUUAAAUUUAUAUAUUAAAUGACAGCUUUCUAAAGUAAUAACUUUUAAAUAUUACAGAUUUUAAUUAAAACUGAUUACAUUUUGAAACAAAUAGAGUAAUCUAUAAACUAACUUUAUAUAGAUAUGAGGACAAAAUUGUAAAGUGGUCUCACCUUAAAUUUUUCUCAUUCUGUGCAUUCCUAAUUGGAAGAAGAUAAUCAACAUCUAACAUUAUGUUACUCUCAGUAUAUUAGAAAUGGUCGAACCGUAAACCAAUUAAGGAUGAUGUAAUGAAGACAUAAAAUCGUAUUUCCAUUUAUCACAAAUAUAGAAUCAAUUGACAACAACUUAAUUAUGUCCAGCGUAGGAAACAGAGAAGAUUUUUCAUACCUUCUAAUAUUAUAAUAUCUCGCUAUAUUAGUGGCUAAAUCAGUUUUCUCUAGCACAAAUACUCACUCCAUUCUUAGAGUUUAACAUUUUCUAUCUGAUGAUAUUAGUAGUUUGAUCCCAAAAAAAAAAGGUCGAACUGAACGUUAUAAUUGGAGUAAGAAAACAAACAAAAAUCAACCGAAAACUUUUAAGGUAUAUGAAACAAAAAUUGAAAAUAGCAAUUCGCUGCAAUUAAAGAAUAAAGCAAUAAAAUUGUAAAAAUAUAAAAUAAAACGAAAAAUAUACACAGAAAGAAAGAUUUAGUAAAAUAAAAUCAUAAUAUAAUUUUCAUAAUUGAUAGUGCUCAGUUACACUAAAAAGUCUAAAUUUACAACAUACACAGUUUUAUUUACAUCUUUAAACAUAUUAUCUAAUUAAAAUGAUUCUAAAAGUGCCAGCAUGAAGAGUUAGAAAAUAUACGAUAAACUAUAAUCCAUAACGUUAAAAAUACAUUAUCAUUGAUCACUAAAAAAUCAUGUUAGUAGUAAUAAAAAUGAAAUGACAACACAUUUAUUAAAACCAUAGAACGGCACGCAACAAUGUGUUAUUAAAUAUACAAACUACAAAUUUAAUAUGCUCAACGCAAACACACAUAAAAAUGAGACAUCAUAUUUAAAUAUAUUUAAAUAAAUAAUUUUAAAUAUAUUAUAUUCUUGAUAAAUUUAAAAUUACUUAAAAACAAACUAAAUUAUUAAAAAAAUUAAUAUACAAAUAAAACUAAAGCAAUAUUUUGUAACGUCAAAAUAAUAAAUGAAUAAAAAAAUAUUAUGUUAAUAAAAUAGAUUUUAGAUUUUAAAGACUUCUAAUUCAUGUAAUAUUACAAAAUUCAAAAUUUGUUUAUUACAAUUAAUAUUUACCAUUAGAUAUAUUAAAAUAAUAUUCUAGAUCGAUAUUCAAUUGUCAGUUUUCAACUAUUAUACGUUAAAAAAUAUUAUUAAGUUCAUUUUUUUUUAAAGUGGGUUUUAUAUUUUAAUUAGGUUAUUGGAGUACUCUUUCUUUCGUGAAUUUAUUCGAGAUGAGAUUUCGAUCUUUGAACUAAGAUAAUUUAUGCUCUAUAUAUAAUUAUACUUUUUUUACAUAACUCUAAAAUCCUGGACUUGAUUCUUCAUAUUUUAUUAGUUAAUUAUGUUACAUAUAAUAGAAAUACUUACUUCAAACUAAAAAUAUAUUAAAAAAAUCAAAUUUAAAAAUUAAUUCUAAAUAAUUUAGUAUACAAAAAUUCACAUACAAAUAAAAAAGAUAAAUGUAACAAAUUUAAGGGAAAUUGCCACAAAUAGCACAUUCAUAGUACCACUUUUCAUGUUUACACUAAUCACUUUUACCCUCACUUUUAAUGAAGAGUAAAAGACAAUUAUACCAUUAGGGUUAACUAAUCUAGACUUAUGGUUUAGAGUUGAGGGGUUGAGUAGGGUUUUUGAAAUGUGAAAUUGAGGAUUCUAACAAAUAUAUAAAUAAAUACUUAAAAUAUAUAAAUAUUUUUUAAAAAUAGUUUCAAACAUAAUUUUCGUUUUUCAAAAAGAAAUUUGAAAAAAAAUAAAAAAAAUAUUUUUAUAAAAAAGUUCGAAUUUGAAAAAAUAUAAUUCGAAAACAUAAAAAAAAGUAAAUAAUUUUUUUUUUUACUUUUUUAUUUUUUAUUUAUUUUUUUAAUGUUUUUUUAGUUUUUAUUUUUAACUUUUAUUUAUUUAAAUAAUGAUUUAUUAUAUAUAUAAAUAAUAAGGGCAUAAGAGUCUUUUGCUACUUAAUGAAGAAGAUAUUUUUGAAAAUGUCUUUUUAAUGAUGGUAAAAAUAAAAAAUGGUACCAUGAAAGUGGUAAACAUGUAAUCUCCCCCAAAUUUAAAUAUAUUAUCCGCGCGUAGCGCGGCGAAAGGAUCUAGUAAUAAUAACAUAGUACUAUAGUUUUUUUUUUUUUUUUUUUUUGAUAAAGGGCUUGCUAACAUAGUACUAUAGUUGUAGCGAAAAGGAUCACAAAAUGACAACAAACACGAGUAACAUCACGUUAACUGAAUCGAGUAUUUCAGAGAAUUAUUCUAACAAGAUACAUCAUUCGUAACUAUCAUCACACAGAAAUGUAAUCUUAUAACCCUAAAUAAAGCCCCUAUAUUAACCCCAUACGUCAUUUUCAUAUCAAAAACCAUCCGAACCUAAUUCACAUUUCACAUAUCCAAACCUUAAACAAACUCUCGAGAAUCCAAAAUAAAAUGAAGAAUCUCGCAGUUCUUGUUGCUAUGAUUCUCUUCUCAUGUUUUGUCACAUCACAAGUUACAGCAAGCGACUUGUUACCAAACCCAUCAUUGCGUAGUGAAAAAGCUUGAAUGGUGGCAUUACCAUUACUACCCUUACUACCACCCUAAACCACAUUGGGCGUUCCCACGCUCUGCCGGAAAGGCUUUUCCGCCACUCCCUGCCGGCUACAACCCCUACUUCCACCCGAUUCCGUUCCAUCUACCAAUGGUAGUCACCAAAUGCUUGUCUGAUUGCAAGGAGGUAAAAACAUGUUUGGCGGAUAUCGCUAAGGCUUUUUACACUCGAAAACCCCUUAUUGGAACGGAAUGUUGCGCUUCGAUACUGAACAUGGAUAGAGACUGUGAUAAGACUAUCUUUGGAGCUUACCAUAACCCUUUCUUUGACUGGGCUGUUAAGCUUCAUUGCUCCACCAAAGCUGGAUCGACUCCUUAUGCUCCCUCGCCGGCUUAAUUAGGGUAUUUAUUACUUACAAAUAACAAGUAAUAAUUUCUUUAGUAGGUUUCUGUUUUUUCUUGCAUUUAUUAUGCUUUUCUAUAUUAUGUUUAACGAUUCCCUCAGUAUUAGUGAUUUUACUUAUUAAUUUAUUAUGCGUUUUGGAAUGUGUCUCUUAGCCAACGAAAGAAUUCAAUUGAAGAACAAUUUACAUUUUUUUUUUAAAAAAAUUUGUUAUAUAGAGGAAAAAAAAACAUUUAAAUUUACCUCUCUCUCAGCAUUAAGAUUUCAGAGUAGGCCUGAGCAUUUUAACGUGGACCCGAAAAACCG